rnacentral:lncRNA from 1 species
CGACAUGCAUCGAUCUUCUCAUACCGUAACCCCAAAUCACGAACAACUGACUUAGCUUGAUACAUAUUCUUCGGGAUCGUUUCUGUUCCAUUGGGAUGAGAUCGACGUAAAAUGGAUAACAACGUCUCAAAUGAUUUAUCGGACCACUGAUUGAUACACUUACAUUGAAAUAAUUCCAAAAUAAAAGAGAGCUUUGUAAAUUCAGUACAACCGGGCCAUAAUUCUUGUUCAGCGUCUUUCAACCGAUUAACAAAAGUCGAAUCAUAAUUUAAAUCUGAAAGAUCUUCAUUCGGUUCUGGAAGAUCUUCA